ensembl:lncRNA
GGGUGAGCCUGGGGUCAAAUUCACAAGGGAUGGGCUUUUUAGAUUCUGUCAUCAAAGCCAGGUUCAUUCCAGUUUGGUGUAAUUUGACACGUCAUAAGGCACAAAUUAUGAUAAAUGAAUUAUUUACCAAAGCUGAACCUACUCCAGUUGCAUUGAGUCACACAAAUUUUCCCCAAAUGUCUCCGCUCUCGAGUGACUGACGAGCGUAUGUUGGAAAUACUGCAUCAUUAUCUACCAAAGCCAUUUGAAUUUCAGCAGUGGCCAUAAUGGCCCUUCUGAUAACCACGUUUUGUACUCUUAAAGGUCGUUCUGGGUAUCCGAGAACACGUCCGCUUACAGAGCUUGCGUUUGACCUGACACGUCGGAGUAGCUACGGUAGCUCUUAGAAACAUUGUGGGAGACCAGACAGAGUCGGGCGUAAAGUCUAGAAUGAGAAGUAUGAUCGAUGUUAAAUAUUGAGGUAUUUUGAAACGGAAGAUUUACUUCAGUAACUAUCAGCUUGUAUUUGGGUUUUAAAUUACAGCAAGUCAGUGCAGGCCUCUGCUCUUGCUCCAAAUUAGGCAACACUGUCAAAAUAUUUUAUCAAAGAAACUUUACAAAAGGAGAAGAACUGCUUUAUGAAUAUGUAUCGGUAGUGCACAGUGAACAGAGGGAGAUGUUUUAAGUCUCGUUGCUUCUUUUCUUUCUGCGCAGCUCGGCUUACAAAAAAAAAGCUCUUUCAUGGUUAUGUGAACCCAUCUUUACAGUGAUAAAUGUGCCACAACAGCAAGCCUGUGGACGACAGAGUUGUACAGAGUGAUGACGAGACAGAGAAUAAAUAUAGGUAACAGGGGUAGCGGCGCAACAUGCACCGUGGCUUCUCUUCAUCUGCCUGCGAUUCAGCAGCUUAAGUCCUCGGAUAUGAGUGUUGGUGAACUGGGUGUUAACAGACUACUCCAUGACGGAGGGGGGAGGGAGUCAGCAGAAAGUCUGAAUGACUGUGAGCAAAUGCACCCACAUCUGUUUUAUACAUGCAUAUGUGAUGCCUGCACCUGCCACACCAAACCGUUUGGUGUGCAAAAACUACGAGCAAUUAAUUUUUGCACACGCAGCAAAUAGGCUGGUGAUGAAUAUACGAUAGUGGCAUGACUCAACAGGUGAAAUAGGCACGCCCAUAACCCUAGCAUAGGCCUCAUCUUACCGGCGGUGGCACAGACCCAGAUCUUUCUCUAACAGAGGUUGGCAUUAUAGGGCGUGGGCCGACAGCGCUCCAACGCCAGAAGAACCACUCAAAUCCAGAGCAAACACUGCAGACAAAAGGGAGACAGGGAGAAAAAACUGGAGCAGGCCUUCUCUUUGUGGAUGCCUGCAGCACUGCCAUAGCCAGAGCUUGUGACACUGGCUAUGGUUGGACUACACAGAGAUUAAUAUAAUCUAUCACAUAUCUCUCACGGUCAUUUCUUACUUGAAAGAGUAAAGCAGACCUAUUAUGGUCUUUUCCAGCUUUACAUUUUAUAUUCUUGCACUUCACUGAAGUACAGUACAGGGACAGUGUACACAUAGUUUCUGAUUGCAUAAAAUUAAUGUCGUCUAUGCUAAGCAUUUUCCUCUAAUAAACAUAAAAAUGUUCUUUUCUUAGAGGAAUUGUUCAGGAUUUGUUAGAAAACCACCUAAAAGGGGACCUUUACUCAUUUCUAAGUACAUUUUUCUAUGUGGGAGUCUACUAGAGUAGCUUUGCAAGAUUCACAGUUCAAAAUAAUCCUUAUUUAUGUUUUACUGGGCCUCUGUGCAGCCUCUCCGUCACUCUGACUGAAAUAAGCCAUUUUAGUGUACUUCCCCCUGUUCUUUAAGCCAGAUGUUCCGAAACUUUUUCUGGCACGCCCCAUUUCAGAAGGCAAAAAAAUGUUCACACCCCACACUCAAUCAUUAACAGUGCAAAAAAGGAUUCAAGCUGACUUUUACUUAAAGGUCAGGAGAUUAACAUAAGCAAACCCUUUAUUUUCUUUAAAAUAACCCUUAUUUUAACCCAUAUUUUUCACCUGGUUGUCCCACCUGCAGUGAUUCUACACCCCACCAUUUGAGAACCACUGGUUUAAGCCAGCUUUCUUCUGAUUGGCUUCUGCUCGCAAACAAAAAGUCUGAACAGCAGGAAGUGAAGAAGCAUUUGAACCAGAAAACGGCACAGUCUCUCUGAACCUAUUGUGGAGCUAACAUGGCUGCCAGCAAUAAGACAUGAUGACAUUAUCCUGCUUUCUUGCUGGAGGCCUCCCAGUAAGGAGUUCUUGUGAACACAUCUUCCGAGUGACAUGGAGACGGGCCUGCAGCCACCAGCGGAGCUGAGCCGAGCCGCUUUAGAGCCCUGCUGAGACCUGCCAGGCCCACAGCUUUCCCUGCCAGGGGCCUCGCUCGAAGUCAAAGUGAGUUACAACCCAUGCUCUUGACACACACAUGCUAAUGCAGAAGCAAGCACCCAGUAUGUAGGCAUGCAGGCGCACGCACAGGUGAAAUACAUAGAGGAAUAUAUGUGUGCAACCAUAAACCAGUACAGAGGCAAAGAAAUAACUCUGUUCGUGCAAAUAUAUGCACACUCAUACAUAAUGAUACCCCUCUAAAAGAGAUUGUAGCUCCACUGGACCACUAGAUAGACUACAUUUACAUACAUGCAAUCACACACAAUCAUAGAUUUGGUAUUUGCAGCCUAAAUAAAUGAUAUCCCUGCUUCUACCCAUGCAGUAAAGUGAGCAUGUCGUCCAACAGGGGCUCUAUCUGUCAGGGGUAGUUUGAGAUCAAGGUCCAGCAGCUGCUGGAUCAGCUGGAUUGAUCUGUCUGGGUAAACAUGAGGACUGAAAAUGAGCGUGUUUGUGAUUAAAGGCUUAACAGGAAGUGUGUGUGUGUGACAGUGAGAGAGAGAGGGAGCUUCAGUAUGCUGUUUAUACCCUGUACAAAAGAGAGCACUGUGUAUUACCUCCAUGCAUAUGUCAUAUACAUGUGUGUGUGUGUUAUAUUGUGCUUAUAUCCAGCUCCAUUUAAAAAAAAUGUUUGGAUACUGCUGGAGUCAAUUUAUAGCAACAUCAUCCUUAUCUUAUACUGGGCAUUACUGGUGCAGCCCCUUAGUUCAUCCUCCUUUCUUCUGAUUGGCUGCCCCUCGUUAAUAGAAGUCAGUGGGCGGGGGUUCUGUGCUCACAAGCCAGAGCUAUGUACCAUUAACUGGUAGCGACAGAUUGCUGCCCCUCACUGAGCCUGGUUCUGACAGGGGUUUCUUCCUGUUAAAUGGGAGUUUUUCCUUCCCACUGUUGCCAAAUGCUUGUUCAAAGGUUAAUGUUUGAAUAUUGGGAUUUUCUCUGUUUUCUGGCCUUUACUUUACAAUACAUCGUGCUUCGAGCCGACGAAUGUGAUAUGGCAAGUUAAUUUACGCAACUGAACUGAAUUAAGAAAACCUCUCAAGCCAUUGUAACACAUUUUUGACAGAAAAUCAGGAAACUCAUAUUGGCCCUGGUUAAUGUUUUUCAUCGUGACUCACCUAAAAAGAGACAGUCUUCCAGAAAAUGGUUACCAAAAGUAUUUUCCUAACCAUAAUCACGUAGUUUUGGUGCCUAAGCAUAACAAAACUGCAAGCGAAAUUAAAAAAACAACUUAAAGUUGUGACUCAAGUUGUGACUCAACCUUUUCUGAGUUGUCACCAGAUAUCCAAAAUUAUACUGCGAAUUAGUGGAGACAUCAACGCCCCCCCCUCCAAACAAAGCGAAAAACAUGGCACAAAUCAGAUAGGUGGAAUACUCAUGGCCAUUUUUUAGAUACUGAGCAAAUGGACGAGAAUUUACUUAAAAUGUGGUUGUAGCCACAUUAAUUAUCUUGCAAAGUGCCUUUAGAUACAGAAUAAAUGUGUCAGUCCCUCUGCUCAUUACAGCCAAGCCGUAUCUGAAAAGACCCUAUUAAGCUCUCACAUGAGGGCUGACCAACAGUUUCAUGCUGGCUAUAUAUGAAUGUAUCUCACAGCAAUAAUAUAUAGCGAGUGCAUGCGUAGCUAUAUGGUUUGUGUCUAAUCCCAGGAAUGUUGAUGUGGUCCAGAGUUUAAUAAAUGGAGGCGUGGGUGGGGAGUAAGAGUCCCCUGGAGCAGAGUUAAGGUCUUAAUGUACUAAAAAGCCUUGACCCAGACCAUAUACACCCACUCACAGGGACACAGCAUCUUCUCUCCAGUCCAGCACAUUCUUUCAUACUUUGGCUACGCAGCAAAGAAAUAUGCACUUGGACAUACACGGAGAUAUGCAAGCACAACAUGGACGAUAUGACCUUAAACAAUAAACAUGCGCAAAAUGUACCGAGUGGCUCAAACACACACACACACACACACACACACACACACACGAACACAUCCUUGUUGACUUGUGUUGGUCGUUAUUCAAUGAGGAGCACAUGACUUAAAUCGGGUGUGGUGCAUGACAUCUUAUCGAACAAAAGCGUCCCACAGAGAGAGCUGAUGGGGGAGACGAUCCCUCCCCGCUUGUCCUGUCUGUUGGGAGUCAUGAGGUCUCCAUCUCGUUUGCCACGCUGUGUCUCGUGGUUCAAAGUCCAUAAAAUGUUCAAGUUAAAAAAAAAAUCCCCUGCUUUUAAAACUUUCAGCUGCGGUGGUGUGUUGUCAAUAAAUCAGCUGCUUUCCCUGAGGAUAGCAACGUUAUCUCCGGGAGGGAGAGGAAGUGCAAAACACUGCAUGUUUUUCAAGAAUGAAGCCUUUGAAUUUCUUGUUGUGUCCUAUAAAUGUCUCACCUUGAGGGUCUGAUGUCUCGCAGUGAGAAUGGAGGGCUUGUAUUCUACACAUUCAACCCGUCGCUUCUACAUGCUUCUGCAGUCAUGCAGAAAUAAACUCAAGUAUGUUGAUCACAGAAGCUUUAUUGUGUUUUGUCUCAUUAACGAUCUCUUUUAAGUGUCUUGCUGAUAAACUUGUCAUUUAACUGUCAAAAUCAUGACGGCUACCUCCAUGUUAGAUCUUACAGGGAAUAUUUCUUCAUUUAAGAGAUAUGCCAGUUUCUCAAAUGCAUUGUAGCAUCGAACUUUUCUAACAUUAACCAGCGGAGCUGAAUAUUAGAAUGGAAAUAUCCAUAUCAGUUGGACCAGACAUUACCCAGGCAGCCUCCUUGUAGAAAGUAAAGUCCAAAUGAACACAUGUGUGAUUCACAGAGUGAGUUUCCAUCACGUCCUGCCUCCUGCGCAGUCUAUCCAGUCGCCACUCUUCGGCCAAACGUAAACUGCACAAUGCAUUUCAAGUGUCACUAUGCAUCUGUCACAUGUGAGAAAAGCCAACUGUACAAAGUGCAGACCUGAUUCUCUCAACAUUAUCUGGAAUUUAUGUGUAAAACUUGCUAUAGUCUCAUCAACCAAAGUUGCGCGUCACCAUAUAUUAGCUUCAGUGAUAAGAUUAUUUAUCACAACAAAUCUUUGCAACUGUUGCAACUGUUUUGGAGUCCAGUAAGGUUAAUACAGGGGAAAUACUGCGAGUUGCAUACAAAAGCAGGUUGUUCAAGUGCUUCUGUGAGUGUUAAAAUGGCUAAAAAAAAUCUGAAUUCCACAAUGACAAGAGAAGUGAAAAGAUGAUUCUCAAGCUUACUCCUGAACAUUCCCCUUCUCUUUCUAUCUAGCUGAAAAAAGCUUGAAAAGUGUGAGCAAACUGGUGAAAUCAAGCUGAGCAGAAAGGGGUAAACAGGACAUAUGUGUGCAUGUGUCUGUAUAAUCCCAUCACAAGAUAGUGUCGUUGAGAGCCAUUGCCCCGAGGCAGCUGGCCAUAGUCCGUCAAGGGAACUUUAAAUUAGAGUAAUGCUCACUAACACAAGGUUAGACAGUUCAUCUGCUGGAGAGAUAUGAAAAGGGGGGAUUGUCUGGUGCUGUGCUGAUGGCCCAGAGAAAAUAGAGUGAAGAAGUUUUGAAUCCCAGGCCUAUACGUGGACAUGGCUAAGUGUAGAUUGAAUUGAAGAACUGGAGGAUGAAUUGAGGCAGAUGCAGACAGCGUUGCAGAGACUGAGUCCUUUGAUAAUUGAUAAUGGCCUUGACAAAUGUAAGACAAUGUAAUAUUAAAAAAAGUGAAGUAAAAUAAAGUUUGUCAAAUGAUUUGUUUCUGGUUGUGUAAAAUGCUGAAUAAAGUUUGUUUAACACUAAAAUUAACUGUCUCUUUGUCCAUGUGCACAGAAUAUUUACUGUAUAACGUUUAAUUUAAAUGAUCAACAGUGUUAAUGUAUUAAAUGUCCCGACACGGCUGGGCACAGUUGCUUUCGGCAGACGAUACCCAAACAGGAGUAAACAGUGUAUUUUUUACGGACUACUUUAACCUGUGGAAUAAUACAAAUUUGGUGCUCUGACAUUGUACAUGUGGGACCAAUUAAAAAUAAACUACAGU